rnacentral:misc_RNA from 1 species
CACAAUACAAUAUGAAGGCUGUCCGCAGCUGGAGUAUUUUAUUACCCUUGUCUUUUGCGCACUUGUUGUUUUCCUGGGCGGGUUCGCUCGCCACCAGGACCACCAAAUAAACCUUUUUUUAUGCAGUUGCAAUCAGCGUCAGUACAAACAAUGUAAAUCAUUUA